GGGCCCGCACAAGCGGUGGAGCAUGUGGUUUAAUUCGAUGAUACGCGAGGAACCUUACCAGGGCUUAAAUGCAGUCUGACAGGAGUGGAAACACUCUCUUCUUCGGACAGAUUGCAAGGUGCUGCAUGGUUGUCGUCAGCUCGUGCCGUGAGGUGUCAGGUUAAGUCCUAUAACGAGCGCAACCCCUUUCGUUAGUUGCCAGCGAGUCAUGUCGGGAACUCUAGCGAGACUGCCGGUGCAAACCGUGAGGAAGGUGGGGAUGACGUCAAAUCAUCACGGCCCUUACGUCCUGGGCCACACACGUGCUACAAUGGUAGGGACAGAGGGCAGCUACCCCGCGAGGGGAUGCGAAUCUUCAAACCCUAUCACAGUUCGGAUCGCAGUCUGCAACUCGACUGCGUGAAGCUGGAAUCGCUAGUAAUCG
rnacentral:rRNA from 1 species